AUGGCCGAAGUGGAGCAGAAGAAGCAGACCUUCUGCAAGUUCAUCUACCGUGGCUUAGACCUUGACCAACUGCUUGAAAUGUCCUAUGAGCAGCUGAUGCAGUUAGUUGUACAGCGCCCGCCAGAGACAGUGCCUGAAACACAUCCUGCGGUGGAAGCAGAACUCACUGCUCAAGCACUUGAGAAAGGCAAAGAAGGAGACGCCACCCAUGGAGAAGCCUGAGGUGGUGAAGACGCACCUGAGGGACAUGAUCAUCCUGCCCGAGAUGGUAGGCAGCAUGAUGGGCGUGUACAACAGCAAGACCUUCAACCAGGUGGAGAUAAACCAGAGAUGAUCGGCCACUACCUGGGCGAGUUCUCCAUCACCUACAAACCCGUGAAGCACGGCCGGCCCGGGAUCGGUGCCACCCACUCUUCCUGAUUCAUCACUCUCAAGUAG
rnacentral:lncRNA from 1 species